ACCAACGAAAGGUAAAGAAGAAGAAAUUGAAGGCGCUCUGGCUGACAGCUGCCUUCCUGCCGCAGGCAAGAGAGAGCCUGUCCCUGCAGGUGAGGGAGGAAGGAUCCCCCUUCGUAGUCCGCAGCGGGCCAGGCCACCGACGUGCACCGCAGGGUGGAGGAUGGCCUAGAGUCUGGAGCUGCAGAAGAGGCAGGGAGGAGAGAAGGGGAAACAAGCAUCUGAACGGCUAAAUUGUGCCAGCAGCGCUGAGAGCGAGAGUCACGGUGGAGGACGGCCUAGAGUCUGGAGCUGCAGAAGAGGCAGGGAGGAGAGAAGGGGAAACAAGCAUCUGAACGGCUAAAUUGUGCCAGCAGCGCUGAGAGCGAGAGUCACGAGACCUUGCUGCGGACGUGGUUGUCUGUCCUUCCCCCGGGGAUGCCGUUGACUGUGGCCAUCUCAGGCUCGCGUGGCUUCUCUCUGCCCGGCCUCGCCGUCCUCGCAGCGCGGGGCUCAAAAGGGAUAGACAAAGCCCUUCCCGGCUGUGGACAGGACCUGCCUCAGCUGAAGCUGGAGACACCAACGAAAGGUAAAGAAGAAGAAAUUGAAGGCGCUCUGGCUGACAGCUGCCUUCCUGCCGCAGGCAAGAGAGAGCCUGUCCCUGCAGGUGAGGGAGGAAGGAUCCCCCUUCGUAGUCCGCAGCGGGCCAGGCCACCGACGUGCACCGCAGGGUGGAGGAUGGCCUAGAGUCUGGAGCUGCAGAAGAGGCAGGGAGGAGAGAAGGGGAAACAAGCAUCUGAACGGCUAAAUUGUGCCAGCAGCGCUGAGAGCGAGAGUCACGGUGGAGGACGGCCUAGAGUCUGGAGCUGCAGAAGAGGCAGGGAGGAGAGAAGGGGAAACAAGCAUCUGAACGGCUAAAUUGUGCCAGCAGCGCUGAGAGCGAGAGUCACGGUGGAGGACGGCCUAGAGUCUGGAGCUGCAGAAGAGGCAGGGAGGAGAGAAGGGGAAACAAGCAUCUGAACGGCUAAAUUGUGCCAGCAGCGCUGAGAGCGAGAGUCACGAGACCUUGCUGCGGACGUGGUUGUCUGUCCUUCCCCCGGGGAUGCCGUUGACUGUGGCCGUCUCAGGCUCGCGUGGCUUCUCUCUGCCCGGCCUCGCCGUCCUCGCAGCGCGGGGCUCAAAAGGGAUAGACAAAGCCCUUCCCGGCUGUGGACAGGACCUGCCUCAGCUGAAGCUGGAGACACCAACGAAAGGUGAGGGAGGAAGGAUCCCCCUUCGUAGUCCGCAGCGGGCCAGGCCACCGACGUGCACCGCAGGGUGGAGGAUGGCCUAGAGUCUGGAGCUGCAGAAGAGGCAGGGAGGAGAGAAGGGGAAACAAGCAUCUGAACGGCUAAAUUGUGCCAGCAGCGCUGAGAGCGAGAGUCACGAGACCUUGCUGCGGACGUGGUUGUCUGUCCUUCCCCCGGGGAUGCCGUUGACUGUGGCCGUCUCAGGCUCGCGUGGCUUCUCUCUGCCCGGCCUCGCCGUCCUCGCAGCGCGGGGCUCAAAAGGGAUAGACAAAGCCCUUCCCGGCUGUGGACAGGACCUGCCUCAGCUGAAGCUGGAGACACCAACGAAAGGUAAAGAAGAAGAAAUUGAAGGCGCUCUGGCUGACAGCUGCCUUCCUGCCGCAGGCAAGAGAGAGCCUGUCCCUGCAGGUGAGGGAGGAAGGAUCCCCCUUCGUAGUCCGCAGCGGGCCAGGCCACCGACGUGCACCGCAGGGUCUGUACGCGUAACCCGGAGUUCGGUGGAGGAUGGCCUAGAGUCUGGAGCUGCAGAAGAGGCAGGGAGGAGAGAAGGGGAAACAAGCAUCUGAACGGCUAAAUUGUGCCAGCAGCGCUGAGAGCGAGAGUCACGGUGAGUCCUGGGCCACUGGGGCCCCAUUGCCUCUC